CAGCCAAGAAGUCGCUCACUCACCCUCCCCUGCCACAGCUGUGCAGAGGAAGAAAAAUUUAACAAAGAGUUCAUGAGUUGAGAUAAGGACCAGGAGAAGACACUGUAAGGGCAAAACAGGCCCAACUUAAAGGGCAGGAAGACAGGGCAUGAGGGUUUUGGUCAGUUCAUCACCCAAGGUUUUCCUCUGCUGCCCAGGGAGAGGAGUCCUCCCCCUGAGACUGCGGGAUCCCUCCCACAGGAGACAGUUCUUCUCCCACAUGGUUCCACUCAGGAGCAGCAGCCCGACCGCACCUGCUGCAAACCACAAAGAGGUGUCUAGAGCAGAGGUCUCAGGAGUAGCAGCUGAGUAAUCUGGAGUUGUUCAGUCUGGAGAAAAAUGAAGGUCAGGAGGGACCUUAUUGCCUGCCACAACUAUCUGAAAUGAGGCUGUAGCAAGGCACAAUUAUGGGAAACAGUAAAAAAACCCUGGUUGAGCUUAAAUGAGGAGCAUGAAGGAAGCUGCCAGCAAAGACUGAUGGUCUGCACCAAUGUUUGUGAUUAUAAAUUAGAGAUGUCAGAAAGGGUGGAAGAUGAACGAAUCAACCUCAGAGUGACAGUGAUAAGCUUGUACUAUUUUACAGAAUUAAGAAAGGGAAACAAAAAAUGGAUGCACAGAGCAGAAGAAUAAUAUGAUAAAAUAAAACUGAUUAUAAAAUUAUAUGGUAUCAGCACUCAAUGGACAGACAUGAAGAAAGAUUGCAUUUGCCUACACAAACUAUGAACUUGUAAAAGUGACUGAUACAUAAGCUGACAUCCUGGUGUAUUAGACUCACUCUCAUUUUCUCUACAAACAAUGAAUAACCACCAAAUACCAAAAUGUUCUGUAUUGAUUGUGUCUGGAAUGGAGUCAGUGAGCACCAUAUUAGCCUUCAUAGAGCUGUCUGCAUUGGCAGGUAGAAAGGGGUAGAAAGCAGUUCUUUUCCUGGGAUAUUCCAUACCAUAUGAUGUAAUGUUCAUCAAUAGAAGCUGAGAGAAAAGAGGAAGGUCUGGAGGGGGCAUUUGUUGUAGAGAUAUUUGUCUUCCAAAUUAACUAUAAUACAUACUCAAUCCCUGGUUUUUAGGAAGUAGCUGGACUCUGCCUGCUGGUGGAAAAUAAGAGAAAAAAUAAUUUUGCUCUGCUUUGUUUCUUGCUUCCUUUACUUUCAUUCAUUUUACUGCCUUUCUUUCUGAUCCAUGAGUUUUUUUAAAUCUUUUGUGUCCCCAUCCCAUUUAGGAGGAGGAGUGAGAUAGCAGCUGAGUGGGCACGUGGCAGCCAGCUGAGGUGAUCUGCCUUAUUUUUAUUGCUGUUUUUUUCCUUAAUUAUAAUUUUGGUAGACAAUAUUGUCUUACAACAAUAAUCAUAACUUUUAGAAUCAGUCUUGUAAAUUCCUCUAAUCUCUGACAUUAUUUUUAGGGAUGCCUUAGUUUUCCCCACUAGCAUUUUUACAAGCAACAUUAUCCUCUUUUUUAAAUCACUUAAUAGGAUCAUUCCAGAAUGAUGAUUCUUUGAAAGCUAAAUCUUAAAAGAAGAGGAAUUGUACUGUAAUUGUGCCACUGCAAAUGAUUAGAAAGUCCUGUAGUGGAAGAGCAGAGCAACAUGGAUAUCUUGCCUCAAAAGCUAUACAAGGAAUUUUUUGGUCUGCCUGGAUGGGCAUUCUUAAAUAAGAGAGUGGAAUAUCUGCUGAGUCAAUGAGUGCUAGACUUUACCCAAACUUGACCAGGAGUGAGCCAGGUCUCUCAAGCUCUUCCAGGUAAGGGGACACAAGAUUGGAGGAAACAGAGUUUACUAAAUUCAAGUUUAUAUGCUGAAAUUCCAGCUGGAAAACUCAGGACAUAAAUUAGAAGAUAAAACCUUCAAUGAAUAAAAAAUUAGAUAUAAUUUUUUCCUUCACUGUAUUUUAAUCUUUAUUAUAAUGAAUCAUUCAAAAAUUGAAGGAAGAUAUGACAGAGAGAGACUUCUAGUUUCCAAGAGAACAAAGAGAAAGCUAAAUGAAAAAUGAGAGGAAAGCUUUCCUGCCUUUAAGGUGCAUUUUUGCUAUAGAAAAGUAAUCAAACAUUUUCAUUAUAGAAAAAUAAUGUAGGAAAAAAUUAUAGAGUAGAUUUUCCAGCUUGUUUCAUGAAUAUAAUUUAUUUCAAAAAUACAAAAUAAAAUCUUGUGCCAGGCUUCUUAGACCCUAUCUUGUAUGGGACAUUUCACAUUAAGAAUACAGUAGACACUACAAAUAUAUCAGGGCAACUCAAUGGCUUGUGUUUUAAUGCCCCAGAUAUUCUCAUUGAAUUAUACUUAAAUCAAAGUACACAAUUUCAUUAUGGAAAAUACAAUUGGUAAAGACUGGAUUGCCAUAAAAGGAUUCAAUUUCUCAUCUAUUGGUUAUAAAGGUAUACAUGAAAGUUUAACAGAGAGUAAGUACUGCAAGCUUAUCAAAAUUUAUAACAUAAAUUAUCAUUCUUGUAACUUAUCUAAGACAAAUCUCAGAUCUUCUUAGACCUUCUCUACUUAGCCAAUCACCUGGUUUAUUUGAUGUAACUACUUUGAGGCUUAAGAAAAAAAAUCUUUGAAUUUAAAAUCGUAUAUAGAAUGAUACCAAACUUUUAUUAUACCCAUACUUGAUUUGUGAAUAGAAGAGCAAUUUAAACAUUCAUACAUGUAACUUACAUUGCAUACAUUAUGAAGUCAUCUAGAGAAGACAAUUGACAUUUUCCUCUUGCUGAUAGUCUUUGUCAUUGUAGUUUGAGAUUGUCUGUGCUAAUCCAAGUAUUUAAGUCUCCUUUGGACUUCUGCUGCAAUUAUAUUUAAAGAAAGAAAUUUACACAUAUGAAACUGGGUAUGUAAACCAGCAAUUGAUUGCACAUUAUGUGUAUUACAGAAACAGUCAUUCUCAUAUUACCAGAAGGAUUAUCUUUUAAACAUAAGAGCUAGUCUCUAUGAAAGCACUAUAAUUCUAUCAGCACAACACUUAAAAAGGCACUAAAGUUUCUGUCAAUAGUCCUUAAAAUAACGUGCAUUCACAAAAUUUUUAGAAGUGGUAUAUAUGCAAUCUUUCCAGAAAAAAAUUUAAAUCCUGUAGCAACUAAAAAUAUGAACUUUACCACUGCAGUAGAUGGGGGAUAGUCUAUCAAGAAGUAAGUUUAAAAAUUACAUUAAUUGCAAUUCUAUUUGAAAAUGUGCAUGUGAUGAAAAAUGUAUCAACAUAUGGGAGAUGAUAUAAUCAUGGACAUUAUAAGAGGAAAAAUGUGAAAAUAUUUCUUCAAAGGACAUUUUUUGUCUUCAGUGAAACUGUUUCCAAUUUCAUUAUUUUUCCAGGCUUUAUUUUCAUUCAAAUUAGUGUGACUUGAUCUGCUAGUUUUAGGAUUUAACAUACACUUUUAUCUUGUACUAUCAUGGUAGCCAUCAUGAUGGGAAAGAAACUUGCACAGUAAUUAAAAUUAUGCUUUUGAAACAAGUUUUGGAAGUGCACUUUUAAUAUGCUUUAUGUAGGACAUCUAAUCUCCUUAUAUAAUAAAACCCAAGGAAAUAACUGUUUAUAACAAAAUACAAAUAGUAU